UCAAACUUGGUCAUUUAGAGGAAGUAAAAGUCGUAACAAGGUCUCCGUUGGUGAACCAGCGGAGGGAUCAUUACCAGAGUCUCCCGACUCCCAAAACACCGUGAACGCACCUCUCUUCAACGCUCCGGCGGGGCGCCCCAGGGGGGGCCGCCGCCGCUCAGGCACCCGCCGGAGCGCCGUCGAAUUCUUACACGCGAGUCUUCUGAGUGCAAAGCUAAAAGCUUACAACUUUCAACGAUGGAUCUCUUGGUUCCGGCAUCGAUGAAGAACGCAGC
rnacentral:misc_RNA from 1 species